CCACCCCUCCUCACUUGCUCUCACUUUUCCACUCCCCACUCUUUCCUCCACUCCCACACACUCUCCUCCUAUCUCUCCCCACGAAAUUGCUGCUCCUCCUAGCUUCAUGGCCGGCCAUGGCCAUGAAAAGCUCUCCAUGAUGAAGCUCUCCCCCUCCCUCAAGCUCCUCCUCUCCAUGAGAGCAUCCCUCUCCUUUUUCUCCCCAACCCUAGAUGGUUUUCUCUCCUCUUCUUCUUCCUCCCUUGCUAAGUUUGGAUCUUGAUGCAGGUGCAUGUUGGUCCAAGCAUGGAGAAGCUUCACCUAUCCUCAGAUCUGAAGUUCUUGACCAAAAUCCAAAUCGAGUGAUUCAAAGUUCCACAGAUAGGUAUUGAAAAGAUCUACAACUUGGCGUUGGUCUCAUCCUCAAAUUUGUUACGGAUUUUGCGUGAUCAAGAUCUGGUCAGAUCUGACUUUGUCGAAUUAAACCAGGAGGCUGGAGACGAAUUUUUGAAUGAAACCAAUUGGGGGAUACUUAGUUGUGCCAUGGUGAUACCGAGAGAGGCAAUUGCUAAGUUAUGAUACUCUCAUACCUUUACUAGAUGCGAACGAUUCCGGAGAAGAAGAUGAAGUGGUUCGGACAAGGAUUUUAUUUAUAUUGACGGGAUUCUUAUAUUGAUGAAGUUGAAGAAGUCCAGGGACAAAUAAGCCAAG